rfam:Mesorhizobium sp. ORS3428 contig_2, whole genome shotgun sequence.
CCGUUCAACUCGUCCCACCUUUGAGUGGGACUACGGGAG